UGAGGAAUAUUGGUCAAUGGGCGCAAGCCUGAACCAGCCAUCCCGCGUGCAGGAAGAAGGCGCUAUGCGUUGUAAACUGCUUUUCCAGGGGGCGAACGUUUCGUACGUGUACGGGAGUGACGGUACCUUGGGAAUAAGCAUCGGCUAACUCCGUGCCAGCAGCCUCGGUAAUACGGAGGAUGCGAGCGUUAUCCGGAUUUAUUGGGUUUAAAGGGUGCGUAGGCGGAUUAAUAAGUCAGUGGUGAAAACCUGCAGCUUAACUGUGGAAUUGCCGUUGAUACUGUUAGUCUUGAGUAUGGUCAAGGUAGGCGGAAUGUGUAAUGUAGCGGUGAAAUGCUUAGAUAUUACACAGAACACCGAUUGCGAAGGCAGCUUACUGGGCCGUUACUGACGCUGAUGCACGAAAGCGUGGGGAUCGAACAG
rnacentral:rRNA from 1 species